AAUCGUAACAAGGUUUCCGUAGGUGAACUGCGGAAGGA
rnacentral:rRNA from 1 species